UGGGUGAGAUGAUGCACAAGGAGGUUGCCGCCGGUCAGAGGAGGAGGGCGAGAAGGCUGGAGAGCCGAGGCAGAGGCUUACAGGGAAGAGAAGAAACGACACCUUAUACAUACAGGAUACCCGCUCCCAGGUGCCAGGAGGACAGCCGGGGCUGACGGAGGUGUGGCUUUCUAAAAACUAAACCUUUCCUCUGUAAUGCAUAGCUUCUCUGUAGAACAUCCAAUUGUUCUUGGGUAGUAUGACUGUGGAUAACAUCAUCAUUUUGGUCAAACUAAAAUUUACAGAGGGAGGCCUAGGGGAUAACGUUAGGUUAAGUAAGGUUGGUUUUGUAUCUUCUGUAUUUUGUUGAAAAUGAAGUGCUUCCACCAACAUGAAUAUUCCACGAAAAUCAGACUUCAUAUUUGGUAAAACAUGAAGGUCUAGUCUGUAUAGAUAUCCUCAGUAGAUCAAGGAUAUAAAUUAUUAUCUGCAUUUAUCUCGUGUAUUUUGAUGGAUGGUUGUGGCUGAACCAGCAAAUGCUCAUUGAGAUUUAGAUUACAGGAUAAGAGUGUCGAGGAAGUUAACACAUGAAGUAAUCAUAUAAUUCUACCAUGACUUAGUGCUGCACAUAUGUUGAGGUAGUUACGCAGACAUCUGUUCUACCAAGGUUCUUACUUAUACACACUUGUACAUUCUGUUGUUAUAGUUGAUUGAAAUGCUCUAACUGAUGGUUUGCCAUAUGGCCAUGGAUAGUAUAUAGUUUGGUUUCGACACUCCCAAAUAAUAAAUGGUUCAUUUGUUUGUUUUUGUGUUUCAUAGAAAGGAUUAAAUAAUUAGAACCCAAAAGUGAGUUUCAGGAUUUGUAAUGAAAUCCUAUUUGCCGCCUUAUGUCGAGGCAGCCAUGACGCUCUCUGUUGCAAAUAUACCACAACUAAUUUUACAACUCACCCAGUCGUUAUUCCUUAUGAGCUGAUUUAUAUAACUCAGGAUAUAAUGUCCAAGAUUUCUUACCAAUGUACAUUCUAGAUUCUGUGAGGUUAGAAGGUACUUAUAAGAAUAUAGCUGAACUCCAGAUUAUCUUCCUUUUGAUCAACGCUUCUACUAGAGUUCAUUAACUAUGUCAGAUGUCUGUUGGUGUUGGCAUCACAUAGUCCCUGUCAUGAGCAUGCCCUGUUCUCUGAAGUUUACCAAAACAACAAAUAUUUAGUUGAACAUUGACAGCGUUUCUUGUUUUUUCUAUUUAAGGAGUUCGAAAAAUUACAGGGUUUUUAAGUUUUAUCUAUGCUUUGUUGGAAGGUAUGCUCGGAUCACUUAUAGAGAUCUGGAGAGGAAAGUUUGUUCCUUCCUUACAAGAGCCAUAUAAACAAUAAGGAAAAGCUCUUUCCUAGCAUAAGGUGAAUCUUGUAUAGUUUAAUUUGGGUAUAUUUUCUUAUAAAUGUGUAUUGUUGCAUACAUAAAUUGUCUCAGUUAGACGAACAAUUUUUUAUUUAGCGGUGACAUACUUGGGACACCAAGAAUAGGAUUGCGGCGGGGUUGGCCAAAGGACUGCACUACUUGCACUUUUUGUACAGCCCAGGAUACCAUAUUGCAACCUAAGGCCAUUGGUAAUUCACUUAAAUAUAUAUAUUCUCAUUUUUCAGACUUCAGUCAUCAAUUUAGUUAAAUCUGUUAGCUUACUGAUUGCUGCAUAACUACCAUUUCUCAAAUUUACAAUGCGGUUUCUGUGUUGAUUUCAAAAUGGUGAGAUAUAAUUAGUUAUUCACAUUUUAGCAGGGACAAAUCUUGAUUCUUAAAUGCAGGCUAACUGUCAAUUAAUCUUUUAUGUAUAAUACCAACAUGUGUCGUGAUAAUAUAAGAAUGCAACAUUGUAGUGCCAUAUAAUCUAUCAUUUUUUUGGAACCACAAGCAUGCAGCAUGUACUGCCAAAACAAUAUUUAUCAUAUGUUGUCAGAGAGAUCUAGCUCAAUAUGGGUUCAGAAGGAAAUUGUCAAAGAUGAAGUGGUACACGUCUACAAUUAUAGUAAAUUCUCUUUAGGGAUUUUAUUACCAAGAAGCACUUGAGUGGUUUGCUCCAUGGUAUAACUAACGAGCAUUUACUUGGCUUCCUUCGUUAGUUCCUUCGUUAGUGUUUAUUUGGCAACGGGCAAAAGCCAAGGCGCCGCCGGCGAUGCGCUAUCGUUCAGGUGCAUCAUCAAGGCCCAUCUUGGCGUGAGCAUGAGGUUGCGCGCUGAAUAUCAUCUCUGUCGGCUGCACCUUAUCGAUAGGACGGAAGAUGAGAUGUGUGGACCACCGUUUAUUGGUUGGAGAGAAAUUUUUGUGGGGAGGUGAGACGAUGUAUAUGGGCUAGGAAAGUGCGUCGUCUGUUUCAGAAGCGGAAGAGCAAACAAUUUCGGGCUAGACGGCUGGCGUUGAGUCUUGACUGUUAGGCUUACGGAACUGCUGGAUGAGAGUACAGUAGAGGCAAGCAUAGCCCCGCAAACAAAUAGGAAAAAUAAAAUAAUUGAUGAUGGAGUUUAUAGGUCAGGCCCGAGGAGGUGGGCUUGAGUGGGACUGCAUGAGAUAUGACGUGGCUCGAUGUGAUUAGAUGCUGAGGUGUCUAUGCUACAUGUUGAGAUAAAUCAAGUAGUGGGGGUGAACUUCUUAAAUAUAUAGGAUUUGGCAACGCAUGGGUAUUACACCCAAUGUAGUGCCAUAAAUCUCAUCGUAUCAUAUAACCCUCAUCAUCUAAUAUUGUAUAUAUUCAUAUAUUGAUGCAUCAAGGGGCUGCUAAUUGUUGCGAAGUGACAUCUGCAUUGCCAACAGAGCAAAUAAAGUUAGUGCGAAGAAGACACGCGUCAGGGAGGAAGUAGGGCAUGCACAAUGGAAUGGGG
rnacentral:lncRNA from 1 species